CACGUAGUUAGCCGGUGCUUAUUCUUCAGGUACCGUCAUUAGCCCAAGGUAUUAACCCAGGCCGUUUCUUCCCUGACAAAAGAGCUUUACAACCCGAAGGCCUUCUUCACUCACGCGGCAUUGCUGGAUCAGGCUUGCGCCCAUUGUCCAAAAUUCCCCACUGCUGCCUCCCGUAGGAGUCUGGGCCGUGUCUCAGUCCCAGUGUGGCUGGUCGUCCUCUCAGACCAGCUACUGAUCGUCGCCUUGGUGAGCCUUUACCUCACCAACUAGCUAAUCAGAUAUCGGCCGCUCCAAAAGCAUGAGGCCCGAAGGUCCCCCACUUUCAUCCGUAGAUCGUAUGCGGUAUUAGCGUAACUUUCGCUACGUUAUCCCCCACUUCUGGGUACGUUCCGAUAUAUUACUCACCCGUUCGCCACUCGCCACCAGGUUGCCCCGUGCUGCCGUUCGACUUGCAUGUGUAAAGCAUGCCGCCAGCGUUCAAUCUGAGCCAGGAUCAAACUCU
rnacentral:rRNA from 1 species